GGCUAGAAAUAGGCCUGUUAGAAUUUGUAGAAUUAAGCACACUCCGAGGAGGGAUCCGAAGUUAUGAUA
rnacentral:tRNA from 1 species